AUCCCAAGAUGUAGGAAAAUGAAAGAUUAACUCUUUUCUUUUUCUUUUAUUGUUGUGUAUAUAUAUUAAGAUUAGAGUAGAUAGCUAGCAACCCCAUUGUAUUUAGCAUAGGUGAUAGAACUGGGUUCUUAGCUUAUAUAUAUAUAUAUCCAGAGGAUCGGAUCGGAGCUCCAUUGAUGAUUGGAUCGGAUCGGGAUAAGAGAGAUCGAGAUGGCCGGAAGAGAGAUGAAAUAGAUAGGAUGUAAAGGUAGAAGUGUAGUUUUGGGGGUCCACCAUGAGAGAGCCCGACAAAGAGCAUCUUUUAAUGCAUGGGUUUGCGCCCUCUGGCUCAUGCGAGCGUCUUUGUUGCUUCAGUUUCAGUAUCAGCGAACUCUCCGGCGCUCGUGCUGUGGCGCUUUGUGUGUGUGAGUAUGUGUGUGCGUGCGUGCGUGUUUGUGUGUCAGCGCCACCCACGCGUCUUUACUCUCUCACUCCCACGCCCCCAACACUCUGGAUUAUGCGGUCAAACCAUGCCCGCCACCAACCUUACACCCUUACUACUGGUCAUGGAUGCUUUUCUGAAUCAUGCACUGCCUAUCAUCACAGCUAAGGGGACAAGAAAUGUGCUUGUAAUGGGUAUGUUUAUUACCUCUUGUUUUGAGGCAUGUGUUUUUUGUUUUCAGUAUGAAAAUGCAAAAGUAAAACUUCUUUCUUGUAA